rnacentral:rRNA from 1 species
AUGGUGUGUUUUGACCUGGAAAAAAUCAUAUGGAAAUUUUCGGGACGAAGCGCCGCCGUCCCGAGGCGGAACCUGGGCAGAACCAACCUAGGGCUCCGGCGGAGCUGUUUUGUCGGAGAAACUUCCCUCCGAAAGGGGGAAAUUGAAGCCAUCAUCAUCACCAACGAUCCUCUCAUCGAGAGGGGGUCAAUCUCGUCAAUAUCUUCACAAGCAUCAUCUCCACUCCAAACCCUAGUUCAUCUCUUGUAUCUGAUCUUCGUCUCAAAACCUCAAAUUGGUACCUGUGGGUUGCUAGUAGUGUUGAUUACUCCUUGUAGUUGA